AUAAUCUAAGUGGUAUCCUUUUUGAAAAAAAGCCAGAAGCCCUCCCUGCCAGAGGGAAGGGGGUGUCAGGGAAGCAAUGGGGAGAUCCAGCCCCAGGCAGGGAACACAGGCGGGAUCCCGCAGCCGCCCCCCUCCCACCACCACCUCCCGGGGCACCUCAGCGAAACUGCGACCCGCGGGACCGCGGCGGGGCCGCGCCCGCGGGCUCUGCCCUCUCCCGAGCGGGCACCGCCGCCGCCAGACUCCGCCUGGCACGGUGGCCCCGCCGCCCCCCCCCGACCUCACCGGCCGGACGCACCUGGGCUGCGGAGCGGGGCGGGGCGGGGCGCGGAGAAACCCACCGGCCCCGCGCCCGCCGCGGCAGCGCCCGCCGGGGAACGGCUCCCGGCGGGAUGGGGGGGGGGGGAAAGGAGAGGGACGGGACGGAGCCGAGGGAAGCGGGUGAGGCGCAGGGCUGCCCCGCCGCUGCCGCCGCCGCCGCCGCAGCAGCAGCAGCGAAAAGCCCAACAGCCGGGAGGUGACAGUUCAGCUCGUGAAGCGUUGAACAUGUCCCCAGCACUCAAGUGUUUCUCCAACCUGUACAAAACCAUAAUCUCCACUCGCAGUUUGUGUUGCCGGUGUCUGUGAGGCUUGCACUUACCAGCUUUGCUCACACAAAUUAAAAAUGCAGUUAACUAAAGCCACUUUCAAGGAAACAUCAAAUAUCAGACCCACCAUGGCAAAAUGCUGUUCUGCAAGUUAUGGAUGCUUCAACUCUGCUCCCAUUUUUUUGUGGCUGCAGCAACCAUCCUUCACCGAAAUGGCAAGUGGUUCACUCCACAAGAUUCACCUGGUACGGGAGUUUGUGGGGAUGCAAUUGGGAUGAGGCUUUUUUGCGCAUCCCCACCACAGAACUGCUAGCUGUCCUGUCUGCCCAGCACUUCUAAGCCAAACAGAGCCCUGCCUGGAGGGAAGUAACAGAAGCAGUGGUGCUUGGUCUGUAAGAAAUAGUUUGACUGUCUUAUUUAACAAGACUUGUUUAGGCUAUGAAAAGUACCAGUGAUCUAGAGCUUACCUACUCUCUGCCUCUUAGUUUAAAAAUAGGUUUUCUGUGCUGCUUAGCCACCUGCUGUAUGCAUUACCACUGCCCUUUCUUCUGGCUUCCUAAAAAUAUGUGGGUAGAUUGCAAGAUACACAUUCUGCUUUUACAGAGCCAGGGCUCAGCCUAAUUAUAACCUGCAAAAUCAGGAUGUGACUGUUUUGACUUGCAGAAACAAAGAUGAAUAAUUGAGUUGUUUACAUUCAAUUUGUUUAGAUACUCUGACCUCAGUCCACUUUUUACUGUAAUUAACUAUGUUUAUUACAGUGCUGAUACCUGAUGAAAGAACCUAUCUGUGCAAGCCAUCAUUUGCAUUGUAUUUUCCGAUGAAGUAAAUUGACUUUUAGUGAAGUAAAACCACUUUUGUUGUUCUUUUGUAAUUCUAAAGUCAGCAUGUAACUUUUCCAUGACAAGAAAAUAGUACACAGAAUAAAGUUAAA